CACCCACGCCUCGGCUCCCAGCGCGCGCCCCGGGCCCUCCGUGUGGCCGUGGCCUUCAAUCUGCCCGUUCCUCGGCUGGGGGAGGGGGCGCUAGGUUUGCGCUGCCGGGUUCCUUCGCUUCUCCGCUCCCUACCCCCCACGUCCCAAAGGCCGCGAGGCGACAGUUCUCCCGGCACUGGAUACGGCCCACCCCCGCCUCACCCCAGCCAGGUGCGAGCGACUGGUGAGGCCACCGAGGCUCAGAGCUUCUCCGCAGCGCGCGGGGUACAAGCUUCAGGAGGACGAAGGAUAUCACCUCUCUUGUUCAUUCCUGUAUCUUCAGCAUCUAAUACAGUGCCAGGCAUAUGAACAGUGUGACCCCGUCCAGCAGUGAAUCAUGGCCAACUGAAUGUCAAACAACUCCAUCCUAUCUCUUGAAAAGGAGCUAAGCAUGCGGUGGGUGGAGAGGGCAAGGGCAUAGAGGAAGAAUCUUGACAACCCCUUUGGCACCUGGGAGAUGGCCAGGUACAGCAGGAAGAACACGGAAUUUGAAAUCAUUAGACCGGAGAUUAGAUCUGGCCCCACCACUUACUACCUGUGUAACCUCAGGCGACUCAUCCUUAGGAGUCUUACCAGACUGUUGAGAGGAGCAAACAAGAAAUAGCAGGUUGUUGGCCGUCAUGCUGCUCUGGCCCCAGCCUGUGGGUCACGAGUCUACUGAAUGAAGAAUCCCAGACAAGAGGUUAAAUGACUCGGCCAUGGCCACAUGGAAUUUAUGGGAGAUCACCUGAAGCCCACUAUAAUGCACUUUCAAGGAACGAGGGAGAAAGGGAUACAUGGACAAGCAGAUCUACAACCUUCCUGCUGAAUGAUGUUGGGAAUGCUACCCUCCUUUCAUGGUCUGUUUACUCAUCAAGCUUCCCUGGUAACAGUCUUUGGAAGAUUAAAACUUCAGUGUGAACAGAGCAUUAACUAAGUUUUUAAUGACGUUACACUUGCUUACUGGCACCUGGUCUCUGAGGGAGAAAGAAAACAACUUUCUAACAACAGUGAGUGAGCCAUCUAUCGUUCCGGAACCUUGUAAUAGGAGACAUGAAGAAUGAGAAGACUGGACUGCCAUCAGGAAACUCCCAGCCACACAGGAUGGUAAAUGGCAGGAAGAAAUAGCGAAUAUGUAAAAAGAGCAGAAAUGGCUGCGUAGGUAUGAAUUAUGGGGUAGGAGUGAUGUCACCAGGAAGGUGACAUAGGUAGCUCCUGACUGUACAAGAACUGAAAACCAUUCAUGAUGAGACAUCAAUGAAAACAUUCUAGAAUGUGAAGCACCUCUGCACCAAAGACCUGGAGACAGACGUCACUGGAAGGAUAAGAGGAGCAGUUACACAUUGGUGUUAUGCCAGCCGAGGGAGGGACACAUAGGGAGGUCUCCCCAAAGCCUACAGCCGUCCCGUAAGAAAAGAGAGCCCAUCAUGGACAGUGGGUCCCUUUUGGGGAGUUUAUACUUUGGUCUCACCUCAAGGAGAUCAUGGGAGAAUCUGCAGGGCUUGCAAAAACUAGCAUUCAGAUCUUGGCCAAAUGGCUCCUACCAGCAAUGCCCAGGUGGAAGUCCCAAGGAGCAGCCUCACUCAUCUGCACGGCCAAGACAGUGGUGCAGUUUGACCAGGGAAUGAGGCAGGAUGCAGGUCUGCCUGAUCUGGGAACUCAGAUGAAGAUCCUUGCUGUACUCUGAGUCUGGUCUCCUCACCCUGGCAAGGCAGCUAAUUCUUAGCCCAGACCAAUACUGAAUGCAGUUCCUGGCCCUGCCCAACCAGCAAGCCUGUUCUGGUAACUGGGAAAUGUCAUGGCACGGCAGCGCUCAAACAGCCCAGCCAGUGGCUCUGCCCAUCUGUGGAGACAGACUAGUGAGCUUAUCUGGCCAGAGAGUUUGAGGCACAGGUAUGUCUGGUAAGACUCUCACUUGGGGAGCUAAGCAGACUUGGGACCUUUUCUUUGGCUGCCUACACCUCCUUGUGCAGGAAAGCUCAGCUGCAGCUCUGCCCACUGCUAAAUAGAGCCUCCAGUCCUGCUAGCUGAAACCCCUAAUCUUGGUAGCGUGCCCGCCAGCCCUGAUUAUAAUGGUACUUGAACAGAGAACAUCACCAGCAGCUUUGUAUCUGUGGAGCCAUUUGUCCAGACAGCUGAGUGUGCAGGUCUGACUUGAUUCCUCCCACCCUCAAAAGACUAGUCUGCAGCCUGCCCAGGCAAAGGAAUAUAGAGCGGCCUCCAGACUGACACAACCCUAACCAGAGCUCUUUCCAACUUGUGACCUGUGAAGGGCCUCAUCUAAGCAAAAACACUAAUUCGACGCCUCACCUAAACAGACCCUGAUAGCAAGUGCCACCUGCUCAAAGAUGUUACAAACUGAUAAAUGCAGAAAAUCAAGUCAAGUGGUCUGGCCCAGUCUAGAAGAGGAGACCACUUACUCAAAUGUGCAGAUACUGACAUAAAUCACUAAAAAAUGUAAACACCGAUACCACUGGGGCAACUAAUGAAGCGCUAAUAAAUGACACUAAAAAAUGGAGAUCUUGUAGUUCACUAAACUUAAGAGGAUUAUUCUGAAGUGUCUGACAGUUAACAGAACACAGAAGACAACAAAAUUAGGAAAACAAUGCAUGAACAAGUUCAACAAAUAAAAAUCAUAAAAAAUUAAAUCCUAGAAGUGAAAAAUACACUGAAUGAACUGAACAAUUAAAUAGCUUCACCAGCAGACUUGACCAUGCAAAAAAAAAAAAAAAAAAAGUAUACAGGGCCAAUAGGGCACAAUCAAAAGAAAAAUACCCACAUAGGAAUCCCAG